ACUAAAUCAAAGGUGUGCUUGUGUUUAAUACAGGAAUGUGAUCAGAAUCAGAUACAUGAUGAAUUAAUCUGUUAUGUUCCAACGAAUUGUGAUUCACGCUCUCAGGUAUUAAGGCACAGUAUGACUUAUGAAUCAUGAUGUGAAAUUUGAGCAACGCGAGUGAUGUCGUGUCAGAUGCAGUUUCCCGACCACAUCAUACUCGACGAGCGCGGUUGUGUGGCGUCGCGUCGUUGCAGAGUAUUGUUAGACAUCAUCCACUAAACGAUGAUGGGGAUUUUAUUUCUGGACUACUUACGAUCCAAACAAGGAGUUCUGAAGGUCGCUCAGCUCGUGAUUCUCCUGAUAGCGUUCGCUUGCGUUCGUUCCACGUGGUACAACAGCUUCUACACUUACGGUUUCUUGGAAGGAGUCACGCUCGGUUACUCCAUCACGGUCGCCCUUUUUCUAUUCCUGACUGUAUUUGGGAUUCCGAAAAGGGCAUUAUUUGUGAACCGGACGAUAGCCGAGUUUGUGCUCGAUACAUUGGGAUUCAUCUUCAUCUCCACCGGUUCCAUUGUAGCUGCUGUGAAGUCUUAUGACACCCCCAUUCUGGUUGCCGCCUCAGUAAGGGCUUCAUCACAGUUAAAAGAUUCCAGUAAAAUGAAAAUUAAACAAAAAUGUAUGUCAAAGAUUGGUUUUGUGGUGGUGUUCUCAUUUUGCAGCAUUUCAUUUCAACAACUGCUUGUAAUAAUAUUGUAAGCUUUUCUGGUGUUUGUGUUUCAGGUGUGUGGUCUUCUGGUCUCAUAUCUCUCACUUGUUAGUGUGAUACUUUCAUUUGUUGCCACUCGCCGCACACAGCCUGCGGGUAAGUUAUGAGCUGUGUGUUUUCAGUGUGUAUUUCAACAUAUUUAGAUAAACUGAACAUAGCUGGAUCUGCAAAACAUUUUCAGGCGCUUCUGGAGCCUGAACUGUUGAUCUGAAAUAAUGUAUUUCUAUUCCAGGUCCACCAGUAUAAAAACAUUGUCUUGAUGUUUAUAGUGCUUCUUCUGAAAUAUCUAACUGCCCUCAACACAUAACAGCUUGGAUCGGGAAUUGAUAAAGGAUAUGGUUGUUUUAGUACAUUUACAUGGAACAUAAAAGAUUUUGUGACAAUAUAAUUUUUUGCACACAUAGUUUAUUGCAGAGA
rnacentral:lncRNA from 1 species